AGCGAACGCUGGCGGCAGGCCUAACACAUGCAAGUCGAACGGAUCCUUCGGGAUUAGUGGCGGACGGGUGAGUAACACGUGGGAACGUGCCCUUUGGUUCGGAACAACUCAGGGAAACUUGAGCUAAUACCGGAUGUGCCCUUCGGGGGAAAGAUUUAUCGCCAUUGGAGCGGCCCGCGUCUGAUUAGCUAGUUGGUGAGGUAACGGCCCACCAAGGCGACGAUCAGUAGCUGGUCUGAGAGGAUGAUCAGCCACACUGGGACUGAGACACGGCCCAGACUCCUACGGGGGGCAGCAGUGGGGAAUUUUGGGCAAGGGGCGAAAGCCUGACGCAGCCAUGCCGGGGGAAUGAUGAAGGUCUUAGGAUUGUAAAAUUCUUUCAGCGGGGACGAUAAUGACGGUACCCGCAGAAGAAGCUCCGGCUAACUUCGU
rnacentral:rRNA from 1 species